CAGUAGCCACGGGAAAACGAGGGGUGCAAGCGUUAUUCGGAUUGAUUGGGUGUAAAGGGUGUGCAGACGGCUUAUUAAGUCACUUGUUAAAUUCUUCGGCCUAACUGAAGGUCUGCAAGUGAUACUGAUGAGCUAGAGGGUGGAAGAGAGAAGUGGAAUUCUCGGAGUAGCGGUAAAAUGCGUAGAUCUCGAGAGGAACACCAAUGGCGAAGGCAAUCCCCUGGGCCUGUACUGACGCUCAUGCACGAAAGCGUGGGGAGCAAACAGGAUUAGAUACCCCCGUAGUCCCUGUCUCUUAUAA
rnacentral:rRNA from 1 species